rnacentral:snRNA from 1 species
GUGCUCACUCCAGCAGCACAGGCACUAAAGUUUGAAUGAUACAGAGGAGAUUCGUGUGGUCCUGGUGCAAGGAAGACACACAGAUAAAUAAAGCCAUCCGUAUUUUU